ACCAGCCAUGCCGCGUGAAGGAUGAAGGUCCUCUGGAUUGUAAACUUCUUUUAUCUGGGACGAAACCCUCGUUUUCUAACGGGAUUGACGGUACCAGAGGAAUAAGCACCGGCUAACUCCGUGCCAGCACCGCGGUAAU
rnacentral:rRNA from 1 species